GAUGAACGCUGGCGGCGUGCCUAAUACAUGCAAGUCGAGCGAACAGACGAGGAGCUUGCUCCUCUGACGUUAGCGGCGGACGGGUGAGUAACACGUGGAUAACCUACCUAUAAGACUGGGAUAACUUCGGGAAACCGGAGCUAAUACCGGAUAAUAUAUUGAACCGCAUGGUUCAAUAGUGAAAGACGGUUUUGCUGUCACUUAUAGAUGGAUCCGCGCCGCAUUAGCUAGUUGGUAAGGUAACGGCUUACCAAGGCGACGAUGCGUAUCCGACCUGAGAGGGGGAUCGGCCACACUGGAACUGAGACACGGUCCAGACUCCUACGGGAGGCAGCAGUAGGGAAUCUUCCGCAAUGGGCGAAAGCCUGACGGAGCAACGCCGCGUGAGUGAUGAAGGUCUUCGGAUCGUAAAACUCUGUUAUUAGGGAAGAACAAAUGUGUAAGUAACUAUGCACGUCUUGACGGUACCUAAUCAGAAAGCCACGGCUAACUACGUG
rnacentral:rRNA from 1 species